GGGACGAACAGUUAGAAAUGACUGCUAAUACCGGAUGAUUCAUAUUUAGAUAACUAGAUAUGCUAAAAGGAGCCUUUAAAGACUUCACUUUGGGAUGAGCUUGCGGCGCAUUAGCUAGUUGGUAGGGUAAUGGCCUACCAAGGCAACGAUGCGUAUCCGAGCUGAGAGGCUGAACGGACACACUGGGACUGAGACACGGCCCAGACUCCUACGGGAGACAGCAGUUAGGAAUAUUCGUCAAUGGGGGAAACCCUGAACGAGCAAUGCCGCGUGAGUGAUGAAAGGUCUUAUUGAUCGUAAAACUCUGUUGUAAGAGACGAAACCACAGUAUAGGAAAUGAUACUGUGCUGACGGUAUCUUACCAGAAAGCCCCGGCUAACUACGUGCCAGCCGCCGC
rnacentral:rRNA from 1 species